CACAUGCAAAAUAGAACACCUAAUGAAUGACCUGAGCCUGGUCAGACUGGAAUUGGUACCCUUUCACGUCACUCUGGGAUAGGAGUUGCCUGUAAUGUACACAUUCUAAUGAGUUUUUUUUUUUUUUUUUUUUUAGGAGACACUGCAAGGAUGAUGGUAAAGGUUCCUCCUUCCCAAACUCCUUACAGUAGAAGAGGAAGGCAGCAUCGGGGCUGCAGAAAGCUAAAGGAAAGAGCUCAGAAUUUAAAGUCAGACUGAGAAGUGUGAACAGAGCUGCAACUGGGAAAAAAAGAGGUAACAUAGUUGGGGUGAGUGGGAAGGUAGGUAGGGUAACUCUCAGUUACUUCCCACAGCCAGGCCUGAUCUUGGGUAUCAGCUUCUUGCCCUCUGCCCCAAUCCCAUAUUUCCUCCAUCUUUGCCCUCCAGUAGAGGGAAGUCUUGAUAGUUCCACCCAACUGUUUUGUGUAUGAACCCCAGACACUUUCCCCACCACAGAGGAUGCCUGCCUCCUUUCUAUGCAAAUGCUGUGGGCCAUCUCCAAGAACUCCUAGCUGAUUAUUCAGUUUGAAUCCAGUCACUGCUUUUCCCAACCCUACAAGUGUCCCCA
ensembl:lncRNA